rnacentral:rRNA from 1 species
AUUGAACGCUGGCGGCAUGCCUUACACAUGCAAGUCGAACGGUAACAGGUCUUCGGAUGCUGACGAGUGGCGAACGGGUGAGUAAUACAUCGGAACGUGCCCAGACGUGGGGGAUAACGAGGCGAAAGCUUUGCUAAUACCGCAUACGAUCUAAGGAUGAAAGCAGGGGACCGCAAGGCCUUGUGCGUUUGGAGCGGCCGAUGGCAGAUUAGGUAGUUGGUGGGAUAAAAGCCUACCAAGCCGACGAUCUGUAGCUGGUCUGAGAGGACGACCAGCCACACUGGGACUGAGACACGGCCCAGACUCCUACGGGAGGCAGCAGUGGGGAAUUUUGGACAAUGGGCGAAAGCCUGAUCCAGCAAUGCCGCGUGCAGGAUGAAGGCCUUCGGGUUGUAAACUGCUUUUGUACGGAACGAAAAGGCUCUGGCUAAUACCUGGGGCACAUGACGGUACCGUAAGAAUAAGCACCGGCUAACUACGUG